rnacentral:lncRNA from 1 species
UUACAGUAAACCUGUCUUAAGAAGCCAGCCAAGGCAGUAGGAAAAAGUGGCUGCUUAUGGCAGAUGGCUGCUUCAUGCAGGUAAUUUAUAGCAUGAAUGACCAUUUUGGGAAAUGAAACACUGGCUGCCUAAGACAGGUUGGCUGCUUAAUAGAGGUGACUGCUAAAGCAGGUUUUACUGUAAAACAUUUAGUGUAAUGCAACUUGUCAUAUAAACUCACCUUGCAGAUAGAUUCAUUUUGAACUAAUCUUUAAAAAAUUACUGAAAUAUCAUGACUUUUUCUCCUAGAAUAACACCAAAAAGAACAGCACUAACAGUAGUUACAUAUAUAAUAUUACAAUUCUUUACACCAAAAUUCAUUAAAAGUUACCUGGCCAAGGGAUUCUUAAUUUGAUUAAUCAAGUAAUAAAUUAUUUGGUUCUUUUAAUCUUCUGUAGUGUACCUGUUGCUUGUCUCACAACAGGAGAUUAUCCCAGACUGCAUGAUAAGAUCUUGUCUGCUUUAUAUUUAGAAACUCAUAACAAGAGAUCAACCAAUGAAAAUAAAGUCUGUGAACUACUUCUGGGGGCUGUAAAUGUACCUCAAAAAGUAAUCCUGAACUUUUUUCUGUUUAAUAUCAGGGUAAACUUCAAAAAUAAUGAGUAUGUAAAUGGAAUAAAAUCAACCUGUGGUACAAAAAUAUUUUUAACAUCCUAGAUGUAUCCUCCAAUAGCUGACUGUAAAUGACACAUUUGCCCAAGAAUAUCAAAAUUUCAAAUCUACACAGGAAGUUCUUUGUUUGAGAGCAGGAUGGAGUGGAGUUAUUUUACUGUGUUUACAUGCAGCUUGGAAGUUAACAAUAACUAAAAGAAUACACCAGGAGUAUAUAAACAGCAUACAUGAAUGAAUGAAUGAAUGGAGAUAAUUCAGUUUAGUGACCCAAUGUAUUGUGUUCAAAGGAGACUCCAUCCAACAAUUCAAAGACGUGUUAAUGCAGUGAGGCAACUGAUGGCAAAUGAUGGCUUUGUGGCAGUUAAUGAAAACUACAUGGUAUUUUAAACUGAUGGUGGCCAACAGUGACAGAAAAUUUCUCAACCAAUAGUUACAUUCAGUUGAAAAUGAUGGCAUAUCUUAUACAGACUAUACUGCAUUAUGACAAACAGUGGAAAACAUUGAUAUACUACAAUGACAGUGAAACUGAAUAGAAACUGGUGACAUUUUAGCUCCAUAUUGUUUGUACUAUUUUCUAUCGCCUAGUGAAGAAAUGUCAAAAUUCAUAAGCAGUUUUGUUAUACUACAGACUCUUAUGAAAUUAUAAAUUAAGAUGUGACAUA